AUUUGUGUUCCUCUGACCUCACAACCUGCCUGAGGUGAAAUAAUCUAUAAAAUGGCCGAUAAUCCCGGCCCGGCAUUUCUGUGGAAAACGCAGCACAUAAACAACCCAUGAGAGUGCAGCCGCUGCCUUGGGUAGCCAAUUCUCACCCACACAAAAGGAAGGCCAGAAUGAGAUGUGUAUUCCAUUGACCUAGCAGAAGAUGAAGUCCUUUUGAAAUGGAAGGGUCUAGCAUUCAGAGCCUGAGGUUAGGAGAGACGCGUCGGAAUGGAGGGAAAGCGAAAAGAAGAAAAAUCCUGCACUCCAUUAGAAAGAAAAUAAAGCAAUACUUUUUUGACACUGGAGCUGUAUAUAAAUGCAGAGAGGCUCUGAUGCCGUGAGCUGAUACAGCCUCUGUUACCUUGAGCUGCAGUUAUAUUGUGAUUAUAUGGAGUGAUGGGAGACUGCAGUGCCUGGAAGGAACAGUCUGUCUAUCCGAGGCCAAACGACCACCAUCUGCCAAAGUGUUUACGGGUCAAACUCAGAGUGUGCCAAUACCUUUACUCCAGUAGGCUGCAUGCCACUUGUCAGCCUGGCAGGCUGUCCGUGAGGAAAAAAUAGCCUCACUGAUAUGCUGUGAAAUCCCAAGGAGCCAACUAAAACGAUGUCUCUGACUUGUCUUUACAUCUUUCGCUCAGUUUGUGGACAGGUGAACAAGAAUGAAAGGGAGGAACAUCAAAAAUCAAUUACCCAACCAAGAGAGACUAAUCUAGCGUAGAAUUCAAAGUGAAAACUCUGCAAGAAUCAUAGAAUUUGCAGCGAGCUUUCAUUACUUUAGCCAUUUUAGAAAUUGUAUCUUUUUUUUCCAUCUAGGUUUCUGUGCUAUUUUGAUUAUCUGCGUCAUUUUGUGAUUGCAAGAUAUUUCUCUCCCCACAUACUAUCAAUACAUGUACUAAAAGCUUCAUAUUUACCAUGACCUUUUCUCAUUUUUAGCUCAAUCAAUUCUGGCAAUAACAAGAAAAAGAUUGCUGCGCACCCCCAAGGCCAAGGUGGUCAGCACUCAGUACGAGUACUCCGUAGGCAGUUUAGACCUUUUUAAGCUACAAAAGGUCUCAGUGGGCCUCGCUUAUUGAGAUUAAAUGCAUCUGGAGCACCUCGCAGCAGGAAUAAAAUAGGUAUCGAGCAGGACAGAAGAGGCUAAGAGUCCUCUGGCGAUAGUGCAGUGAGGGUCUUUUUGAAAAAUCAUAUUAAGCUAUAUUCCAAAGCCAAACAAACAAAGCAUAAAAACUGACCACAAAGAUGAUAGAAAACCUUCAUUUCAUCGUCAAUCUGUAUCCACAGACAGCACACAUCAUUUUAAGUAAAGUGGCUUUAAAUGGCCUCAGAAUGAUUUCAAGCAGGACAGCUUUAGUUUGACCAUUACAGCUUUUGAUGGUGCACACAUCAGCAUUACAACUUCACACAUCAGCAGUUUGCAUGCUAGUGUGUUUGAGAAAAGUGGACACGACGUGCCAACUAUGACGGAAGCAGUAUUUGCUUUGGAUAAGGCCACCAAAUUCCAAAUUACAUCUGCACCUCCUCAUGGCUCUGUUUUCAGGCUUUA